UCAUCGCUGUAUAUGUUUAAGAUAUUGGGUGACGUCCAGCCCAGUGUUUCUGUACCUUCUGAUGUUUGUCCAAAAGGGCUGAAUUGUGGGACAUCCAGCGACAGAUUGACUCUCUGUGAGCCCAGAAGUUCAGAGGCUCCACAGGGACGUGCUCCUCCUGAGCUUUAACACCGCAGUGCGCUACAUGAUCAGGGAGGCAUUCCGACGCUGGAAACCUCUCGGCCUAUCAGACUGUGAGUGAAAACAUGAGCCACGCCCUCCCUCUCUUGAGUGACAGCAUGAUAGGAGGAGCCAGUUUCCUUUCUGUUCCUGAGCUGCUAGAACCGGCCAGUUUUCAGGAACCCAGAGGAGAUCAAAGAGCACGGUGGGAGCAUGGCGCUGGGCCUGAUUCUCUCUGCAGGCUGUCAUUAGAAAGCCAAUAAACUUCACCACAGCUAGUCUCUUAUAUUUAGGAUAUUGAUUUUCAUCUCAACAAGAACAACAACAAAAUAGUCCUCUCUGAAAUGCAUGGGAUUCACAUGACUUCACAUGUCAUUAAGAACUGUGGAAACGUCGAUUGAGGAGCAUUUCAUCCAGCGGUGUUGAGCGUGAGAUUGAUGGACAGGUAAAUAUUUCAUGCUACUCUUCUAAAAAUAAAGGUCCCAAAAGAGACAGUACCACCUUUCAAUGGACAGUUCUUCAUAAAGAACAUUUUCCACUUUAAAGGUUCCAUGGAUGUUAAAGGUUCUUAAUAAAAAUUUCAGUGCCAAUAAAGAACAUUUAUUUUAAAGAGUAUGGGGUUAUGAUAUAGGUUUAUAAUUAAUAAUGGACUGUUAUAUAAACACUGAGUGUUUUCUAGGUGAUGUUCUCCAGCGCUCAUCUCCAGGAGUGUUUG
ensembl:lncRNA